rfam:Gossypium arboreum cultivar AKA8401 contig_40468_1, whole genome shotgun sequence.
UUGCAAUGAUGAAGUUUUGGAAUCAGUGGAAGGUAUUUGUUGAAUGCUUGAUGAAACUUUCGACCAUUAUGUCGAUCCUGAGCGGUUAACAGAGCAA